ACACUCACUAAUCAGAACAAAAUAAUGUUCACUGUUUUAUGUAGGAAGCAUGACAGAGAGCAUCCCAACUUGAAUUUUGUUUUCUUUCAAAGGGAUAAAUUGGUACAGGGGAGCGAAACAUAGCCUCUACCUAUACAUUUUUACAUGCAGAGAAAGGUAUUAGACGAACACAAUAUUCUCUUUGACAGUAAAAAAUAAUUCGAAAAGGAAUAAGUAACCAAAAAUUAAAGGACAUUCACAAAUUAUCGCCAAAUUAAUUACCAUUGAAAC
rnacentral:lncRNA from 1 species